CACGUAGGCGGAUCUUUAAGUCAGGGGUGAAAUCCCGAGGCUCAACCUCGGAACUGCCUUUGAUACUGGAGGUCUCGAGUCCGGGAGAGGUGAGUGGAACUGCGAGUGUAGAGGUGAAAUUCGUAGAUAUUCGCAAGAACACCAGUGGCGAAGGCGGCUCACUGGCCCGGUACUGACGCUGAGGUGCGAAAGCGUGGGGAGCAAACA
rnacentral:rRNA from 1 species